CAGUUUAACACAAAUGGGAUCCGUAGAAGUCUACACUGUCUAUCUUUUAAAACAUAUUAUCAUUAGGAUCAUUAAAAGUCUCAUUUAAUUAUUAAUAAAAUCCAAAUAUAUGGUCUAAUACCGGAACCCAACUAGCAAUCGGUCCUAAACAAGGCAGGCUUUUCAUAACUCAAAAAUACUUAAAUCGACAAAGGAGCUAUUGGAAUAAAUGUCACAUUUCAGAGCCUACAAGCCUGUGUUUUAGUUCUGAUUCCCUUUCAGUCAUUCGGAGAAAAGUCUCCAACGGAACAAGUACUCGUCUCAGGCAUUCUGGGGGUGCCCGUGGGGCCCCCCCUGAGUUCCUGCCCCCCCCUGAGUCCACGCCCAUCAUCCAGACCACUGUUGAGUCCUCCUCCCCCACUACCAUCAGAUUCGAAGGGAACCCCCAUAGCUGCGCAGUCCGAGAAAAAGGUCUACCACUUCGCAAUUCUCAAAUAACGCGAAUUGAUGAUCUGGUAUUGCUCGCAUGUCCAGGUCCUCGGCAGUCAGAUCGCUACUGCUACUUCGAAGCCAUACCGCCGGUCUUCAAGCAAGGUCACAGCAUAGGGUGGGUGCGUAUCGAGUGUCCACUUCUUCGCACAACAACAGUCUAGGUGAAAAUGUGUACGGGUUUUUGGAUGUUGAUGUGCAUUGAAGUCUAGCAUUGGAAUUAUGCUUUGCAUGCGCUAUAGAGACAAUAUUUACGAGUAGUAAUGUAUACCGCUUGGCAAUAACGUCCCUGCCAUCAUAUUGUAUGCUUGAGAAGGGAAGAUGAUAUCCACCCACUUUACUAUACAAUUGCAAGACGCCACGAAUUAAUAUUUUUUUAAGAAUGGUAUGGAUUGUAUCCCCGUUUGCUCUAAUCUGUCUAAGGGUCUGUUUCAUAUACAUGUGUAUUCAGCAUUAACACUUAUUAAAACGUUUUUAAUUCUUCCUUAAAAAUUA